UGGCGCGCGGGCCGCAGCUUGGGGACCACUGCGAUAGAACGAUACCUGUAGGCGUGGCGACGAUUUAAAAAUUAUUUUGCGGUCAGAAACCCACUCUGUUUCUCACUCUAGCGGAGCGGCAGUUGGUUUCAGUUACACUCUAAUUUUAUGAAAAAUCUAAAACUUUGGGUCGCUUGGAGACAAGAUGUGGACAAACUGUAAUUGGUAUUGACGUACUGUCUUCACUUUAGAAGAGAUCACGGACAUAUCUACAAACUGAAAUUUGAAUGGCAUUUCUACGUCAAUUUAUGACGACACAGAAAUUCCUCAAAAAUAGGGUAUUUAAAGUUUUUUAUUUUUCCUCGCUCCAUUGACUUUAAUGGGAUUUUUGGGUGUCAUUAUAUGGGAGGCAGUKACUGCCUUGCUCUUCUCUAUGUAACGCUAUGGGCUCAAAAAAAACUCAGCUAUGCCUCAGGAAAAACGCAACUCAGCCUUGAAACUUUCUUUGUUUUGUUUCUUUUUUUUAAUAAUCAAAUGUGCUGAAACUAUUAAUUGUUAACCCAGAAUGUGUUUUUUCUACUGGAGUAAAUAUGAUAGACACGUGUCCAUUUACUCCAGCAGCUGUUCAAAGCGACAUGUAUGGACGGAGUCGCCUUAGAUUAACAGUAAAUGGAUCACCGAUCGACAUAUUUGGAACACGAGAUACCGCUGUGGGGAGAAGGCAAAUCAGGUGGAAACAGUGUGGCUGUUUGUGCGACUGAAGCGUUUUGUCAGAUCACAGAUACGCUGUCAUGGGAAAAAAAGCCUUCCCUGAUGACAGUGGCUCAUUACAGCAGAAUAAGACGCCCUGCCACCAGAGCAACAAUGAUAUGGAGCAACAGUUUAAGUCUUUAAGGACCUGCGGCUGGCGUGUUGGCGCUGGUCACUACAUCCCGACUGACGGACCCUGAAGGAGUCCAUGCCUUGAUGGGUCAAGACUGUUUUGGCAGCAAAAGAGGCACCAGCACACUAUUAGACAUGUGAGCAUGAUGGUACGCACUUUUGUAGGUGUAGAAAAGUAAGCAUCAUUAGUUCUUUACAUGGAAAACGUCCAACAUGUGUAUAUUAAAAGACAGGCUGCGAUUUAAAUCUGUGAAGCCCCAGAGUCCGAGGUCAUGCAAAGUUAGGACGCGGCCUCACUGUUUGCUCACAUUGGCGCGUGUUCGCCUGCCGUCUUAUGAGCUCAUCUGGCUCAGCUGAGAGGGGGAAACGUACAUCUAUAUAUAUAUAUAUAUAUGUGUGUGUGUGUUCC